GUAAAACACAAAAUAGUGGUUACAACUGAGAGAGCCAUAGCUGCUACUGGGCCCUAUACAAAAAUAGUAAAGAUGAAAUUUCACAUCAGAAAAUUCCUCUCUUGCUGUAGGAGAACAGCAAGAUAUACAGCAACAUUUACAGAUACUCUCAACAUUACAGUGUGUGCCAGCAGUUUAAUAUCAUGUAUUGAAAAACAGAGCCCAGUAAAAGAUCUGCUUUUCUACCAUAUUGCUGUGAUAUGAAGUACUCCCCUCAUUAAUUCAUUUAUUCAACAAAUAUUCAUUGAGCCCAGGAUACUUUUAGGUGCUGGAAAUUCAUCAGUGAACAAUAAACAAAAAUCACUACCCUAUAGAGCUUCCAUUCUAGUGGUCAGACAAUCAUAAAUAUAAUAAAUGUGUAAAUUAUAUAGGAUGCCAGAAAGGAUGUACUAUGGAAGAAAUACGGUGGUGGAGAUUGGUGUCAGUCAUGUGGUCAAGGUAGUGCUAGAGUUGGUUAGAGUAGGCCUCUUAUAUAUUUAUUUCUAAAUAGGCAGUAUAUUCAAUUACCCCUUCAAUUGAAUAUCUAAUAAAUAGCAUAUUCACUAUAACACAAGUAUAAAUUAUAUAGUAUUACAUAAUUAUUAUAUGUAUAUAUUAUUAUAUAGUUACAUUAUAUAAUGUGUCCUUAGCUGUGUUUCAAAAAAAGGUUGCCAUACUGUUAAAUAAAGUUGAAUUGAGCUGA
rnacentral:lncRNA from 10 species